rnacentral:rRNA from 1 species
ACCGUGAGGGAAAGGCGAAAAGAACCCCGGCGAGGGGAGUGAAAAAGAACCUGAAACCGUGUACGUACAAGCAGUGGGAGCACAGGUUUACCUGUGUGACUGCGUACCUUUUGUAUAAUGGGUCAGCGACUUAUAUUCUGUAGCAAGGUUAACCGAAUAGGGGAGCCGGAGGGAAACCGAGUCUUAAUUGGGCGUUAAGUUGCAGGGUAUAGACCCGAAACCCGGUGAUCUAGCCAUGGGCAGGUUGAAGGUUGGGUAACACUAACUGGAGGACCGAACCGACUAAUGUUGAAAAAUUAGCGGAUGACCUGUGGCUGGGGGUGAAAGGCCAAUCAAACCGGGAGAUAGCUGGUUCUCCCCGAAAGCUAUUUAGGUAGCGCCUCGUGAAUUCAUCUCCGGGGGUAGAGCACUGUUUCGGCUAGGGGGCCAUCCCGGCUUACCAACCCGAUGCAAACUGCGAAUACCGGAGAAUGUUAUCACGGGAGACACACGGCGGGUGCUAACGUCCGUCGUGAAGAGGGAAACAACCCAGACCGCCAGCUAAGGUCCCAAAGUCAUGGUUAAGUGGGAAACGAUGUGGGAAGGCCCAGACAGCCAGGAUGUUGGCUUAGAAGCAGCCAUCAUUUAAAGAAAGCGUAAUAGCUCACUGGUCGAGUCGGCCUGCGCGGAAGAUGUAACGGGGCUAAACCAU